AUUGAACGCUGGCGGCAUGCCUAACACAUGCAAGUCGAGCGGAUGAAGGGAGCUUGCUCCUGUAUUCAGCUGCGGACGGGUGAGUAAUGCCUAGGAAUCUGCCUGGUAUUUGGGGAUAACGUCCGGAAACGGGCGCUAAUACCGCAUACGUCCUGAUGGAGAAAGUGGGGGAUCUUCGGACCUCACGCUAUCUGAUGAGCCUAGUUCGGAUUAGCUAGUUGGUGGGGUAAAGGCCUACCAAGGCGACGAUCCGUAACUGGUCUGAGAGGAUGAUCAGUCACACUGGAACUGAGACACGGUCCAGACUCCUACGGGAGGCAGCAGUGGGGAAUAUUGGACAAAGGGCGAAAGCCUGAUCCAGCCAUGCCGCGUGUGUGAAGAAGGUCUUCGGAUUGUAAAGCACUUUAAGUUGGGAGGAAGGGCAGUAAGUUAAUACCUUGCUGUUUUGACGUUACCAACAGAAUAAGCACCGGCUAACUUCGUG
rnacentral:rRNA from 1 species